GAUCCCUAGAUAAUUCAGCCAUUUGGCUAUGCCAGUUUCUUGGUCUUUUGGCCUGGGCCAUCUCUCUUGGUCUGUGGCUCCUCCCUCUCUCCCUCUCCUCUCAUGAUCCAUUUUAGACUGUUGACCAUGUUUAGUCUGGGCUCUUCCUUCUGCCUGCAUUCUUCUUAAACCUACAACAAAAACCUCCUUACUUUAUUUCAUUUUUUCAUUCACUGGCCACGUGCCAACAGCCAGCACCCACAUGUCAGUUGUGUGUGCAAAGUGGACCUUCUAGCAGAGUCAAGCUUUCAGAUGACCAACCUCUCCCUGGUGUCUCAAAUGCAAUCUUCACAGGAUAGUCUGCAGGUGGCCUUUGACAGGUUCUGGUCUCAUCCUGUUUGACCUGAACGCAAGAAAGCUGCAGCAUGUGCUGGGAAUGCGACAUUCAGAGUCCCGGAGAAGCUGGCUGGGUCAAGCUGUGUUGCAGUCGCCAUCCCCACCUCCAGGAACUCACGGCAAAUCAUGGCUUGACCCCAGGAACAAAAUCCAGACAGUGUUGCUUCCCAGAGUCCUUCAGCUGGAAUGUAAGUGAGCAGAGCCUAGAUUCCUUCCACCUUGGAAGCUCGCCCGAGUCUCCACCCCCGUGGGCCCCUGUUGCUUAUCUCUGUUAGAGAGCCAGCCGAGUCCAGCCCAGUCAGUCCAUCAGAAGAGGCUGGUGAAUGAAGAAGGAAACCAUCAAGAGAGUGUACUCUCUCCAGUCUGAUAAGAACAUAGCUGUCAGCACAGGAAGUUCUACUGGCUUAGACAUUUGGAGCCAAGAGAGACUCAAAAUUGUACAAAAUCUGUUUGAAGAGCUGAAUGUCAGCCUGGAGGCAUGUGCAGGCUAGAGGUCAGUCUUUCUUAUCCCUGGUACCCAUCAGACUCAUCCUGUGAGCUUUGACACUGGUGACCCCUGGGCCCUGAAAAGGCUGGUGAAUUCUGACUGCCAAAAGUGGGGUAUGGAAGUUAGCAUUUUUUUUUUAAGUCUCCUAAAUGGUUUUGAUGAGCAGGGGGUGGGAGGGUGAGAACUCCUCUCUGAUCAUAGGAGGAGACUCCAAGCCGGAGCCUGUGAAUACAUCUGGGGGAGUUCUCCCCUACCCCAGCUAUACGUAUGUGGAAGAAGUAGAAAGGGAAUUUAAAUGUUCUGUGGUAACAAGGUAUUACAUUGAUAAGGAAAAAUUGGUGGUGUGAAAAUACAGAUUAAUUUCCAUGUGAAGGGAUUUUAUGUCGCAAGUGUGCAUGGUUAAACCUGUUCAUUACAUUAAGCCAU